rnacentral:tRNA from 1 species
GCCCCCGUAUCCCAACUGGUAGAGGAAGGUCGCUUAAACCGGCCACAGUGUGGGUUUGACUCCCACCGGGGGCA